rnacentral:lncRNA from 1 species
GCCCCGGAACCGGCAUCCGGCUGCGCGCUGUCCUCACAACCUAGGGAAGUCUGCGGGACCCACCUGGCACGCCCGAGAAAACUGAGGCCCAAGGCUGAAAGUGACCUGCCCGAGGUUCCCCAGAGUGAGUUCUCCCUGAGUCGAGCAGCCAACCCAUAACUUCUAACUCCCAGACCUAGGAAAGGUAGGGGCUUUGAGGUCCACUGCCCCCUUUAAAAUCGGAAGUGAGAUCGCGUCUCUCUCUCUCCCUCAGACUUGAAGGAUUUAGGCUGUCCCUUUCCCUACCGAUGUCCCUCUUUUAGUUCCCAGAGAUCGACCAUUUCUUCUUCCUGACUUUGGCAUCAUGGGGACCUUCGUGAAGGGGCAGAAAAAUGAGGCAACCUGGUGUCUGCCCCUGCUGGCAGGGAGCUCCCUAGCUAUAGAGUCUAGUAAGGUAACAGCGGCCUUUUAUGGAUAGCUUCCUCCAAGCUUAACAUGAUCUCAUUCGGCCCUCACAACCACCAUAUGAGGGUGGUACUAUUAUUAACCCCAUUUUACAGCCGAGGAAAGGGAGAUUCAGAGAAGGGGAACAGCUGUUAUGUGGCAGAGCCGGGCCUGGAAGGUUUUGUCUGAUUCGUAGUCUUUGCUCUUAAUAACCCUAUUCUGUCCCUUUUAGCAUAAUUACAGAAGGCUGAAUGGGGUACAUGUGCCUCCCCAACAAGAAACCUUGGGAGAUUAAAAGCUACAAAGACACUCUGGCUUGAAACUAUCAGGAUAGGUUUUCAGAAAGAAAGUGUAGAGCAGUCUGGCCCUUGAAAGAAGAUGGGAGGACAUUAUCUAGUACAGAAGCCUGGCACAGAUGCCCAUUCACUUUCCAGGUACUCAGGAGACCUGGUGGAGGCCAGUUCUGUUUAGUGAAGGGACUGCUGGACUCUCAAAGGCCACUCACCCAUGUUCAAGUAGUUAUUUUUAUCAGGCUGUUUGGUUUGUUUGUGUUUUCCCUUUCUUUCUUUAAAUCUCUGGUUGCAGGGAGGAGAGAUAAGAUUCCAGGAUGGCCACACUAAGCUCCUUUGUGUGUCCUAGAGACCCCAGUUGGGUAUGCAGUUCUUGGUCACUGUUGAGCAAAAGUGAGUGGAAGUGAAACACUUGAAUACCAUGAAAAGGGCAUGCACAGGCCCCCACAACUCCACCAAGAGCCCUAUGACACUGUUCUGUCUCCCAUUCCUUCUCUGGGCUUGAGAUGUCCAUGGUGGACUCUAUGAACCCUUGUGCUCUAAAAAUCUCCAUUCCCUUAGAAUCACAUCAUUUCACAUCAUUUCACAAGUGAUCUGGAUUCCACUGCCAGAUCAUGAUCUCCUUGAAGGUAGGAACUACAUCUUUUCCACUUCUAUAUCCCACUAAAUAGUUUGAUGCCCCUGGCUCUUUGUAGGACAUUAACAAAUAUGUGUGAAGUGAAUGAAUGUUCAUAUCUCAGGUGCAAGCACAAGAGGUACCCAUUUGGAAAAGCCUCAGUUUCCUCCAUGCACUAGAUGUGUGGUUGAUCCUGGAUAACUCAAUUAACCUCCCAGUGUGUAAGGUGGGGACUUUAACAGGACCUAAUAGGAUUGCUUAGGGGAUGGAACAAGAAAAUGAAGCAUUUAACACUAGUGCCUGGGAGCUGAGGCUGGCCUGGUCCCCCUCCUGGCCUGAUUCCAGUCUGUCAGUGUAGCAACGCAAGAUUCCAGAUAUGGCCUGACUAGGCCAGCACAAUAGGCCUAUUAUUUCCCCCAGUCUGGACACGACACAUUGUUAAUGCAGCCUAAGACUGCUGGGCUUCAGAGCCUUUCUCUCCCAUGAUUAGUUCCCAUCAGGUUGUGGUCAACUAAAUCAUUCAGAUUCUUUUCACCGGAGCUGGGGUCAAGUUAGGUCUCUCCCCCAUCCUCUGCUUUGUGUAAUAUUGUCAAGUUCACAGCAGUUCACAAUGUCAUCUUGCUUAUCCCAAGCUGUGGAAACUGUUUUGAAGGCUGGCUCUAUUGCCCAGUGUUUUCUCACUCCAAAUUUAGAUCCAGGCUGCCCCUUGCAACUUCAACUCCACCUUCCAUAUUCUUGGUCAGAAUAGAGCCCCGUACACACCACUAGAAAUACUCAUUCACCAUUUACUAAAUCAGGGCAUAGUUAAUUCAAUAACUCUCAGUUAUCAAGCACCCACUGUAUGCUGGGCCAGCAUUGUACUAAGUACUUUUGCCUUAUGUAGAUCAUCAUGUUUACUCCUUAAAACACCACUGGGGACUGGUCCCAUUCUGUAGAUGAUAAACCUAAAACUAAGAGAAGAGAAGCAGGGAUUAUAUUUUACAAACCUAUUUUACGGCCCCCUUUUUCUUAUGAUGAGCUUGGUGGUUGUCUUCCAGGUGCCUACAAUCCUGACCAUUUGACACAUUGGGCCCAUUGGACAUUUUCCUUCCCACCUGCUUACCCCCAUACCGUCAGGCCUGGAGCCCAAGGGACUUUGUUGAGGCUCUAGUCCAUAGCAGGCAGAUGGCAUCCUCUGUAGCUUGGUUAGCUUCAAGAGCCUGGAGCAGAAACCUGGGCCCAUUCUGUGCAGCAACAUUUUCUUCAUCUAGGACAGCAGCGAAAACAAGGGCUUCUCCCUGAGAGGCAAACAGCUCCCCACUCUGUGGUGGGACCACACUUUCUGGGCCUAGUCCAGCCUCACAGCCAAGGACAAGCGAACUGAAGAGCUCCCCUGCUUGCUCUCCACCUGUCUGCUCCCUCACAGGGCAUGAAGUCCCACCUAGUAUCCUCCUUUACAUGCUCUAGCAUACUCUUCAGAGGGCCACCCGGGAGGCUACUGGGCCUCAUGAGCUUCCUGGAAGGCAGAGAAGCAGUGUUAAGUGCAAAGAUCCCAGAGACGAUUACCUGGCUUCAGACCUCGUCUUUAUCAUUGCAUUUUACUCUUGGGCAAAUAAUGAAUCUCUUUCAGCCUUAGUUUCCCCAUCUGCCAAAUGGGGAUAAUAAUUGUACCUAUCUCCUAGGGUUGGCAUGAGAAUUAAGUGGAGCACUCAGUGUGCUUGACAUGAAAUAAGCACUUAAAAAUGUUUAUUGUUAUCAUUAUCAUUAUUUGGGCAAAAUUCAUCAAGUAAGACCAUUCAGGCCAGAGGUAAGAAAAUUUGCUUAUAAACGAUUAGGGGCUAGAUAUAUGUCUGGCGACUCAAGAUGGUACAGUGGGCUGAUGCCAGGGCAGGAUUACCAGGUGGAGCUGUUGCAGAGUUGAUGCUAGGAUAUUGUUGCUGAGUGAAAGUUGUUGAUGGAUUGCCAUAGUUGCUGGGUGGAGUAGCUUUCAAUCUGUUAUCCAGUGGUAAGAUCUUUCCAGUCGCUACCUGGCAGAACUACUACCCUGACUUCUAUAGAAAAGGGGCCAAGCCCGUACUUUGAAACAUGAGUGUCUCAGCAGCCACUAGCAAAUUUUUUCAUCCAGGGUGGUGGUGCUCCAAGAGAAUGGCCAAGUUGAAGAAAUUAGGGUUGGGCAGGCCCAGAGCAAGGGCUUCCUGGAAUAGCUGCUGUGAUGGCAAUGCCUUGGCCUAUUCCCCAUCUUGUCUCUUUGUUUGCCCUUUUGGGAGGAGGUAGGGCAGAAGGGUCCCAAGAGAGGUUCUUUGAGGGCCCUUAAAGUCACUUGAGGCUGCCAGUUCCUGUCUAGAUCAUAUUGGUUGGGUAAUUGUGAAGCAGGAGAGGCCUCAGGACUGAUCCGUCUCUCAGGAGUCUAUAGACCAUGCCACAGAGAGGCCUCCUUUGCUGGCUUUGAGCUGGGUGAUGGGCCUGACCUCUGAGCCUCAGUUCUCUCAGAGAUGAGGGGUAUGGAGAGUGCUCAGAGAUUCUUUGGGACAGCUGGUACUCCUCCACACACACUGCCUGUCACCAAUCAGUGUCUCAGGGUCUUUAAGUCCUAGCCUUUUUCAAGUUCAAGGUCCUUUUCCCCAGAAGAAAGAAAGAGCCCUUACUCUGUGCUGAGAAGAUGUAAGAAUGACCAAGUGGAAGAAGCUGGAUGAUGUCAGCUUUGGCUCAAAGAGCUACGCUUCUGAGGCCAUGGGACAGCAUGUAAGAAGGCCCAGUGGCUCAACCAUGCUACUAGGUAGCCUCAGGGACCUUUUACAUCAUAGAAGAAGAUCCUUGAGCAGGAGUACAGACAGAGCCUGACCUUGGUGGAGAGGACAGAGACUGAUGUCUGAGUAAUACCUCUCUUUUCGUAGCUGGCCAAAACUGUGCCCUCCUCCUGCUCAUACUAUGUUCCUGCAAGGAGACCAUGCCUUAGCCUGCUGGCCUUGACCAUCUCAGAGUUGAAGAGUCUCAUGGGUCAGUUCAACAGGUGCAGAUCUUCUUGGAUACCUCCUAGAGUCCUGUCUCCACUUUGGGCUUCCUUUUUAUCCAUCUGAACACACACAUGAAAGAAUAUCAGGCAACCCAGUGCUGUAUGAAAUCUGCUUUCCACCCCCACUAUGUCAAGUCAGCACCUCCAGCUUCUCAUGAUUAUGCUGUGAUCUCGUGCUGAUCGAGAGCAAGAGAUAAUGGCAUAGCUGGGAACUAGAGUCCACCUUGUCGAGUCUGAAUCCAGUUCUGUCUCUGGCUAUCUGUGUGACUUUGGGCAAGUCACAACUUCUCUGAGCAUCAUCUAUCUGAUCUGUAGCAAUGCCUUAUGGUGUUAUCUUGAUGAUCUGAUGAGAGGAUGUGUAUGUACAAAACAGGUGAUAGUUUCUUUCUUUCUUUUUUUUUUAAUCUUUUCCCUGAUUGGCAGGAUGUAUGCCUUUGAUUAACAGAUACCGAGAAAACAAAUUUCUUGCUAUGCUCUGAGAUUCAACACGUAAGCAGAAUUGAGAACACCAAAUUCUGUUUGAGGGGCAGAGGUCUAAGAAGGCUUCAUAGAGGAGGUGAUGAUGGAGCCAGGCCGUAUCAGGUAAGUAGGAGUUCCUGAGAUAGACAAGGGUGUGUGAGGCGAAGGGAGCACCAUAGGCAUGCAGGUGUGAUGGAGGUUGGUGUGCCCCAGACCAGCGAGCAGCUUGGGCUGGUGGGGCUUUUGCUGGAUAAGAAUCAGCACUGUGAGGUUGAGAUAGAAGGAAGCCUUGCACCCUCCUCCUGAAGAGGGUGGGAGCCAUGGAAGGGACUGAGCAGAGCAGUGAAAUGACUACAUCUGUGUUUUCUAAAGAAUACAUUGCCAUUUGUCAUCUUUAAAGUUGAUCCCUCACUGGUCCCCUCUGAUCCAAUCACAGGUGAAUUUUCGAAAAACCAAGUCUGGCCGAGUGUGGUGGCUCAUGCCUGUAAUCCCAGCAGCUCAGGAGGCUGAGGCAGGAAGAUCGAGAGUUCAAAGCCAGCCUCAGCAAAACCCGAGGCACUAAACAACUCAGUGAGACCCUAUCUCUAAAUAAAAUACAAAAAAUAGGGCUGGAAUUUGGUUCAGUAGUCAAGUGCCCCUGAGUUCAAUCCCUGGUACAAAAAAAAAAAAAAAAAAAACCUGACCAUUUUAUCCCCCCGUUUAAAAUCAUUUAUUGAACAAAUUAUUUUUAUUGAACAAAUUGUUUUAUUUAAUAAAUGAUGGAUUAAAGAAUAAAUGGAUGGAG